CAUCUCCGGUCAUGAGAUCUUUGAUGAAUCUCUCUUCCCAGGACUGGAUAAAGCUGUGCCCACUACCUCUUUACAGCACACGGCUCCAUCUGCAAUAGAGGUAAGUUUUCCUAGUUUAUCUCCUUCAUAUGUUAUCUCUAAUUUUCCUUCAGUUGACCCUACUUUGUCACUUCCUACAUCAACUCCCCUCAGCACACCUAUCCAAAAUUCUAGCUCUCCAACGAUCUCAUCACCUCAUUUCUCCAGCCAAGAUCUCCCUCACUCACCUUUAAUAUCCUCUCCCACCAAAACAAACGAUGAUAUUUCUCCUCCUCCCAUAAUAUCCUCU
rnacentral:lncRNA from 1 species